GCUUCUCUCCCUCCCUCCUCCUUGCCCCCUCCUUCCUUUCUUCCUUUUUCUUUUCAUCACCCUUCCUCCUUUCCUGACUCCUCCCUUUUAUCCCACUUUCCCUAGCUUCUAUCUUCCCUUUAACAGUAUUUGUUGAACCCUGUACUGGAUGCCAGAUCCAGCAAAUCCAGCACCUUGGUAACUGAAGGACUGUAACUUAAAAAACAACAACAACAAAAAACUAAUGUGAUGAUAUGUAAAGGCCUCCAAGACCUUAAUUAAAACAACAUCAACAAAGUAUGGAGCAGAGUGUAUUAGAUUGCUUCAGCCAUCAUUGUCAGCAACAACCAAGUUGACAAUCCACGCUGUGAACCAGUUCUCCUGCUUGGGUGAUGUUGGGGUACUGGGGAACUCAUAGCUUCCUCAACAGAGAAGCUACACCAGGAGAUGAACGCUGAGGAGGCCCAGAUGAUGAAGGGCUCGGAGUCAGAAGCAGGAGUGGCUGGGCUGGAGAAUUGGAGUUGGCAUGGAUUCAGCAGAAUAUGAACCCUCCUGAUGGGCUUGAUUUCAGGGUCUCAGAGAAACGAAGAGGGGAACAGGGCUUGGCACAGUAUGAGGGACUCACCAGGGUUUCAACUUCAAAAUCCAAAUCCAAGGAGGCACCAGCUAAAGGCUGAAGGGCAGACAGGGACGAUGAGGUCUACAGGUGCUGCGUCCUCUUAAAUCUGCGUGCCCAGGCCCCUGUCUCCUGAGCUCCAGAACCAAGCAUCCGACCAGAUGCCUCCACCUGGGCGGAAGCUCAAAAGGUAAUUUAUCACCCCUCCCCCGCCUCCCCACCCAGCAUGCCUCCUCUCAGGCAACGAAGGCAGACACUGGCGCCAUCCCCUCUCGCCCUCGGUCCCACAGGGUCUUGUUUUGGUACUCUGUGCAUCCUCCCCAAAGCUCUCCACUUCUCCCCACCUCCCCUGACACCUCUCUGGCCCCGGCCAGCAUCACCUCUCAUCUCCAGUCUUGUGACCCUGCAAUCCCUCCUUCUGAAGCAAACUUGGCCACAUUGCUCCCCACUGAAAGGCCUCGGCUGUGGCUCCCCAUCUCCGUGAAGAGGAAACUCAAACUCGUUGCUGUGGUCUAACAAGCUCCCCCCCACCCCCGUCCCAGGAGCUGGUCCCUGUCCAACCUCCAGGCCCCAGGCUCCCCCCUCCCCUUAACACCUGGAGGCCCAUGCCCACGGGGCAGAAGUGCCUUCAGUUCCUUGGACUCACUUUCUUUCACCUGCUGGCCUAACGCUUGCUUUCUCUCUGCCCCCAACACUUCCUCCCACCUCCCCUGGCCAGCCUCGAUUCAUCCUUGAGGUUUAGCUUAAAUGCCACUUCCACGGAGCGGGUGCCUGUGGAUCCCUGGUCUGGAUUACAGGAGCCUGUUUUCUCAGGAACCCCUGUGGUGAUGUAAUCCCCUGGAUUAUAACCUGUUGUUUAAUCACGUUGCUCUCAUGCAAGGUGAACUCUCUUCGAACAGAGGCCGCAUCUGAUUUGUUUCUGGUCGUGUCCCUGGCCUUUGGGGAUGUAGUAGUGUCUGGGGAGUGACUCAGGCAGUGGAAGGGUGACUUUUCUCCGGCAUGGCCCGGAGGAGUGCAUCCAGAGAGCUUGGCUUCAGGCUCUCCUGGAGGAGACAACUUUUGCUUGGCGGCCUUUGUGUUCCCCAGGACAUCUUAUUCAGGUCCUUAACAGGAAGACAGGGGCUCGAGCAACGGAGAGGAGGAGGGAGGGCAGGAGAAGAAAGGAGGCCCUAAUCCGUGGCCCAGAAGAAAUGAACAUCUCCAAGUUUCCCACAUCCCUCAUCUAAGUAGGUCACACGGAAGAACUCAGAGUUCCUGUCAAAGUUUCAGGCAAAAACAAUAACUUGGUUUUGACCUUGCUCUCUUCAAAAAGCAAGUGGCUGCUGAGCUGCAACAUCAAAAAGAAUAAAUAAUUGUUUUUCUUUUUUGUUGUUAUGAUAUGGAUCAUCUGAGCGGUUAGUGGUAAGCAAGCGGCUUUGAUUCGACUCUGGCUCCCCAGCGCUUCAGCCCCUCUUUAUGUCAGCAGGCUCCUGUUUCCACCCCAGGACAGCAGAAUCCCUUGAUUAAAUUCAUAUUUGUUUUAA